rnacentral:lncRNA from 1 species
AGUUUUUCAAGUGCCUCCUCUCCAGUCAACUGCCAGUGGGACUUCUAUGCCCCUUGGUCAGAAUGCAAUGGCUGUACCAAGACUCAGACUCGCAGGCGGUCAGUUGCUGUGUAUGGGCAGUAUGGAGGCCAGCCUUGUGUUGGAAAUGCUUUUGAAACACAGUCCUGUGAACCUACAAGAGGAUGUCCAACAGAGGAGGGAUGUGGAGAGCGUUUCAGGUGCUUUUCAGGUCAGUGCAUCAGCAAAUCAUUGGUUUGCAAUGGGGAUUCUGACUGUGAUGAAGACAGUGCUGAUGAAGACAGAUGUGAGGACUCAGAAAGGAGACCUUCCUGUGAUAUCGAUAAACCUCCUCCUAACAUAGAACUUACUGGAAAUGGAUUCAAUUCAAAACCAGCUGUUGCCAUAGAUACGAAAGAGCCAUGUGUUUCCCAAAUAUGUUCUUAGAUGGAAAGAAUGUUGGAUUUUCUGAGCCAUUAGUUUUAGUGAUUAUACCAAGCAGGGGAAGCUGGAUAAUGUAUGGUGUGUAUUAGGAUGCUGUGCUCUUCAUUUGAACUCUCUCAAAGAAGUGUUUAAGUGUAAUGCAUUUUAAGAAUUUGUAGAGUUCUGUAAUAAACUUUUUUCCCCACC